UUAAGUUAUUAAGGGCGCACGGUGGAUGCCUUGGCACUAGAAGCCGAUGAAGGACGUUACUAACGACGAUAUGCUUUGGGGAGCUGUAAGUAAGCUUUGAUCCAGAGAUUUCCGAAUGGGGAAACCCAGCAUGAGUUAUGUCAUGUUAUCGAUAUGUGAAUACAUAGCAUAUCAGAAGGCACACCCGGAGAACUGAAACAUCUUAGUACCCGGAGGAAGAGAAAGAAAAUUCGAUUCCCUUAGUAGCGGCGAGCGAAACGGGAAGAGCCCAAACCAAAAAGCUUGCUUGUUGGGGUUGUAGGACACUCUAUACGGAGUUACAAAGGACGACAUUAGACGAAUCAUCUGGAAAGAUGAAUCAAAGAAGGUAAUAAUCCUGUAGUCGAAAAUGUUGUCUCUCUUGAGUGGAUCCUGAGUACGACGGAGCACGUGAAAUUCCGUCGGAAUCUGGGAGGACCAUCUCCUAAGGCUAAAUACUCUCUAGUGACCGAUAGUGAACCAGUACCGUGAGGGAAAGGUGAAAAGCACCCCGGAAGGGGAGUGAAAUAGAACCUGAAACCGUGUGCUUACAAGUAGUCAGAGCCCGUUAAUGGGUGAUGGCGUGCCUUUUGUAGAAUGAACCGGCGAGUUACGAUUUGAUGCAAGGUUAAGCAGUAAAUGUGGAGCCGUAGCGAAAGCGAGUCUGAAUAGGGCGUUUAGUAUUUGGUCGUAGACCCGAAACCAGGUGAUCUACCCUUGGUCAGGUUGAAGUUCAGGUAACACUGAAUGGAGGACCGAACCGACUUACGUUGAAAAGUGAGCGGAUGAACUGAGGGUAGCGGAGAAAUUCCAAUCGAACCUGGAGAUAGCUGGUUCUCUCCGAAAUAGCUUUAGGGCUAGCCUCAAGUGAUGAUUAUUGGAGGUAGAGCACUGUUUGGACGAGGGGCCCCUCUCGGGUUACCGAAUUCAGACAAACUCCGAAUGCCAAUUAAUUUAACUUGGGAGUCAGAACAUGGGUGAUAAGGUCCGUGUUCGAAAGGGAAACAGCCCAGACCACCAGCUAAGGUCCCAAAAUAUAUGUUAAGUGGAAAAGGAUGUGGCGUUGCCCAGACAACUAGGAUGUUGGCUUAGAAGCAGCCAUCAUUUAAAGAGUGCGUAAUAGCUCACUAGUCGAGUGACACUGCGCCGAAAAUGUACCGGGGCUAAACAUAUUACCGAAGCUGUGGAUUGUCCUUUGGACAAUGGUAGGAGAGCGUUCUAAGGGCGUUGAAGCAUGAUCGUAAGGACAUGUGGAGCGCUUAGAAGUGAGAAUGCCGGUGUGAGUAGCGAAAGACGGGUGAGAAUCCCGUCCACCGAUUGACUAAGGUUUCCAGAGGAAGGCUCGUCCGCUCUGGGUUAGUCGGGUCCUAAGCUGAGGCCGACAGGCGUAGGCGAUGGAUAACAGGUUGAUAUUCCUGUACCACCUAUAAUCGUUUUAAUCGAUGGGGGGACGCAGUAGGAUAGGCGAAGCGUGCGAUUGGAUUGCACGUCUAAGCAGUAAGGCUGAGUAUUAGGCAAAUCCGGUACUCGUUAAGGCUGAGCUGUGAUGGGGAGAAGACAUUGAGUCUUCGAGUCGUUGAUUUCACACUGCCGAGAAAAGCCUCUAGAUAGAAAAUAGGUGCCCGUACCGCAAACCGACACAGGUAGUCAAGAUGAGAAUUCUAAGGUGAGCGAGCGAACUCUCGUUAAGGAACUCGGCAAAAUGACCCCGUAACUUCGGGAGAAGGGGUGCUCUUUAGGGUUAACGCCCAGAAGAGCCGCAGUGAAUAGGCCCAAGCGACUGUUUAUCAAAAACACAGGUCUCUGCUAAACCGUAAGGUGAUGUAUAGGGGCUGACGCCUGCCCGGUGCUGGAAGGUUAAGAGGAGUGGUUAGCUUCUGCGAAGCUACGAAUCGAAGCCCCAGUAAACGGCGGCCGUAACUAUAACGGUCCUAAGGUAGCGAAAUUCCUUGUCGGGUAAGUUCCGACCCGCACGAAAGGCGUAACGAUUUGGGCACUGUCUCAACGAGAGACUCGGUGAAAUCAUAGUACCUGUGAAGAUGCAGGUUACCCGCGACAGGACGGAAAGACCCCGUGGAGCUUUACUGUAGCCUGAUAUUGAAAUUCGGCACAGCUUGUACAGGAUAGGUAGGAGCCUUUGAAACGUGAGCGCUAGCUUACGUGGAGGCGCUGGUGGGAUACUACCCUAGCUGUGUUGGCUUUCUAACCCGCACCACUUAUCGUGGUGGGAGACAGUGUCAGGCGGGCAGUUUGACUGGGGCGGUCGCCUCCUAAAAGGUAACGGAGGCGCUCAAAGGUUCCCUCAGAAUGGUUGGAAAUCAUUCAUAGAGUGUAAAGGCAUAAGGGAGCUUGACUGCGAGACCUAUAAGUCGAGCAGGGUCGAAAGACGGACUUAGUGAUCCGGUGGUUCCGCAUGGAAGGGCCAUCGCUCAACGGAUAAAAGCUACCCCGGGGAUAACAGGCUUAUCUCCCCCAAGAGUUCACAUCGACGGGGAGGUUUGGCACCUCGAUGUCGGCUCAUCGCAUCCUGGGGCUGUAGUCGGUCCCAAGGGUUGGGCUGUUCGCCCAUUAAAGCGGUACGCGAGCUGGGUUCAGAACGUCGUGAGACAGUUCGGUCCCUAUCCGUCGUGGGCGUAGGAAAUUUGAGAGGAGCUGUCCUUAGUACGAGAGGACCGGGAUGGACAUACCUCUGGUGUACCAGUUGUCGUGCCAACGGCAUAGCUGGGUAGCUAUGUGUGGACGGGAUAAGUGCUGAAAGCAUCUAAGCAUGAAGCCCCCCUCAAGAUGAGAUUUCCCAACUUCGGUUAUAAGAUCCCUCAAAGAUGAUGAGGUUAAUAGGUUCGAGGUGGAAGCAUGGUGACAUGUGGAGCUGACGAAUACUAAUCGAUCGAAGACUUAAUCAA
rnacentral:rRNA from 1 species